UAUCUGGCAAAAACCUGCAAACUGAAUUCUUUCAAGAACUGGACAGAUUUACUCCACGUUUCAUCGAUAUCUUCAGGGCUAAAGGUGGAGGCAUUGGUUCCAAACUUAAGAAGAUUCUGCAGCAGAUUGAAAAUGACAAAUCGAACAUCAAUGCGGGACGAACAGCCGUUCUUCACGGCCUACCACUCCUCCUCGGAGAGGACCCCUACUAUUUUUACAAGACAUGUUUUGACUGUGAUGAAAAUGAAGACAUGUCGGACAUUGAAAUAGGUAUUCUGACAGUGAUUCCCGAGGAAUCUGCAACUGUACCCUACUCCCUGCAUCUUGGUGCCACAACAAAGGCAAUCAUUUUGGAAGAUACAGUGGUUGUGGAUGAUCUUGAAAAUCUUCCACAAGCAACGUGUCUGCUCUUUGGACUAAUUUAUGCUCUAAACUUAGAGUAUCCUGCAGCACUGAAAUGCACAUUCGACUUCAUACAAAGAGUGAUUUUGUCCCUUGGCCACAAGUCACUCAAACCUAAAAUCCAAUCACUGAAAAAUCGCCUGAUGCAGUAAUAGAUCAUAGCCAUGAUGCUAGUUUGAGUGAAUAGAAGCUGUCUUUAAGAAAACCAAAGAAAUUGUUCAGUACUGUUUUACAGAUACUUCAGUUUUUUCCAAUUGUUGAAAAUGAAAAAAAAAAAUCCACAUUUAAUAGGAUGUUUUGAAAAAUUUCAAGUUUACUUGUUUGGUUUUAGAAUAGUUUUAAUAUAAGAGAACUGUAGUAGGAAGGUGUUCUGUACUAAACUUGUAACAUACUUGCAAGGUCUGCUUUUGAACACUUUGUAAAGAUGUUAAAAACAAAGAAACAUUGAUCCUUUAAUUGUCUUUUUAUUUCUUUUUUUUUCUUGAGUGCAGUAUGUGCUUUUUUUUUCUAAAAUGUUGCUGGCGGGCAGUUGACGGGCAUGCCUUAAGUAAUGUUUUAAAAUGAAUACUGUUUUAUAGAGCAAAUAAAGUGUUCUAGUUUUGUGCCAAAUCUGUUGUCUGUCUUUGCAUUCUCAACUUAGAAUUUUGAGUACAACUUGCUUGAGAAAUUUAAGGCAAUCAGCUUCCACAC